rnacentral:misc_RNA from 1 species
UUUUAAUUUAUGACUUUGUAUAGUUUCUCUUAGGAGUGACAUUGUUGAUGUGCCUUUGGUCUUGAUUAUGGGACAAGUUUGAAUUUGAUGAUUUGUCAAUGUGGCUGCCAUGAUAUGCGUUUUCUAGAUAAUCAAUUUCAUGCGUGAUUUGUCACCUGAAGAUCUGAUUAAUGCGUAAAUGGAUGUAAUUUAGAGUGUUCUUUAGAUUACCAUGCACGAUGCGGGAUCAGGUUACCAUUUUAGCUGAUGCAAGUUUGAAGUAGCAUAUGCCCAAGAUCUAUGGAUGACUAACGUUAUUGCACAAGCAUUCUGCUCUGAGAGUCUGAG